rnacentral:rRNA from 1 species
CCUACGGGAGGCAGCAGUGAGGAAUAUUGGUCAAUGGACGAGAGUCUGAACCAGCCAAGUCGCGUGAAGGAUGACUGCACUGUGUGUUGUAAACUUCUUUUGUCAGGGAAUAAAACGCGGCACGUGUGCCUGGUUGCAUGUACUUUAAGAAUAAGGAUCGGCUAACUCCGUGCCAGCAGCCGCGGUAAUACGGAGGAUCCGAGCGUUAUCCGGAUUUAUUGGGUUUAAAGGGAGCGUAGAUGGGUUGUUAAGUCAGUUGUGAAAGUUUGCGGCUCAACCGUACAAUUGCAGUUGAAACUGGCAGUCUUGAGUACAGUAGAGGUAGGCGGAAUUCGUGGUGUAGCGGUGAAAUGCUUAGAUAUCACGAAGAACCCCGAUGGCGAAGGCAGCUUACUAACCCGUGACUGACAUUGAUGCUCGAAAGCGUGGGUAUCAAACAGGAUUAGAUACCCUUGUAGUC